AUUGAACGCUGGCGGCAGGCCUACACAUGCAAGUCGAGCGGAUGAAGGGAGCUUGCUCCUGGAUUCAGCGGCGGACGGGUGAGUAAUGCCUAGGAAUCUGCCUGGUAGUGGGGGAUAACGUCCGGAAACGGGCGCUAAUACCGCAUACGUCCUGAGGGAGAAAGUGGGGGAUCUUCGGACCUCACGCUAUCAGAUGAGCCUAGGUCGGAUUAGCUAGUUGGUGGGGUAAAGGCCUACCAAGGCGACGAUCCGUAACUGGUCUGAGAGGAUGAUCAGUCACACUGGAACUGAGACACGGUCCAGACUCCUACGGGAGGCAGCAGUGGGGAAUAUUGGACAAUGGGCGAAAGCCUGAUCCAGCCAUGCCGCGUGUGUGAAGAAGGUCUUCGGAUUGUAAAGCACUUUAAGUUGGGAGGAAGGGCAGUAAGUUAAUACCUUGCUGUUUUGACGUUACCAACAGAAUAAGCACCGGCUAACUUCGU
rnacentral:rRNA from 1 species